rnacentral:rRNA from 1 species
GACGAACGUUGGCGGCGUGCUUAACACAUGCAAGUCGAACGGAAAGGCCCUGCUUUUGUGGGGUGCUCGAGUGGCGAACGGGUGAGUAACACGUGAGUAACCUGCCCUUGACUUUGGGAUAACUUCAGGAAACUGGGGCUAAUACCGGAUAGGAGCUCCUGCUGCAUGGUGGGGGUUGGAAAGUUUCGGCGGUUGGGGAUGGACUCGCGGCUUAUCAGCUUGUUGGUGGGGUAGUGGCUUACCAAGGCUUUGACGGGUAGCCGGCCUGAGGGGGUGACCGGCCACAUUGGGACUGAGAUACGGCCCAGACUCCUACGGGAGGCAGCAGUGGGGAAUAUUGCACAAUGGGCGGAAGCCUGAUGCAGCAACGCCGCGUGCGGGAUGACGGCCUUCGGGUUGUAAACCGCUUUCGCCUGUGACGAAGCGUGAGUGACGGUAAUGGGUAAAGAAGCACCGGCUAACUACGUGCCAGCAGCCGCGGUGAUACGUAGGGUGCGAGCGUUGUCCGGAUUUAUUGGGCGUAAAGGGCUCGUAGGUGGUUGAUCGCGUCGGAAGUGUAAUCUUGGGGCUUAACCCUGAGCGUGCUUUCGAUACGGGUUGACUUGAGGAAGGUAGGGGAGAAUGGAAUUCCUGGUGGAGCGGUGGAAUGCGCAGAUAUCAGGAGGAACACCAGUGGCGAAGGCGGUUCUCUGGGCCUUUCCUGACGCUGAGGAGCGAAAGCGUGGGGAGCGAACAGGCUUAGAUACCCUGGUAGUCCACGCUGUAAACGGGGGGUACUAGGUGUGGGGUCCAUUCCACGGGUUCCGUGCCGUAGCUAACGCUUUAAGUACCCCGCCUGGGGAGUACGGCCGCAAGGCUAAAACUCAAAGGAAUUGACGGGGCCCCGCACAAGCGGCGGAGCAUGCGGAUUAAUUCGAUGCAACGCGUAGAACCUUACCUGGGUUUGACAUGGAUCGGGAGUGCUCAGAGAUGGGUGUGCCUCUUUUGGGGUCGGUUCACAGGUGGUGCAUGCCUGUCGUCAGCUCGUGUCGUGAGAUGUUGGGUUAAGUCCCGCAACGGGCGCAACCCUUGUUCACUGUUGCCAGCACGUUAUGGUGGGGACUCAGUGGAGACCGCCGGGGUCAACUCGGAGGAAGGUGGGGAUGACGUCAAGUCCUCAUGCCCCUUAUGUCCAGGGCUUCACGCAUGCUACAAUGGCUGGUACAGAGAGUGGCGAGCCUGUGAGGGUGAGCGAAUCUCGGAAAGCCGGUCUCAGUUCGGAUUGGGGUCUGCAACUCGACCUCAUGAAGUCGGAGUCGCUAGUAAUCGCAAAUCAGCAACGCUGCGGUGAAUACGUUCCCGGG